rnacentral:rRNA from 1 species
GUCGAGAAUCUUUCACAAUGGGGGCAACCCUGAUGGAGCGACGCCGCGUGGAGGAUAAGGUCUUCGGAUUGUAAACUCCUGUCAUGCGUGAACAAGGUUGCUUGGUUAAUACCUGGGCAAAUUGAUGGUAACGCAAGAGGAAGAGACGGCUAACUCUGUGCCAGCAGCCGCGGUAAUACAGAGGUCUCAAGCGUUGUUCGGAAUCACUGGGCGUAAAGGGUGCGUAGGUGGCGUGGUAAGUCAGAUGUGAAAGCCCGGGGCACAACCUCGGAACUGGAGCCGAUACUGCAGUGCUAGAGUACUGGAGAGGUGACUAGAAUUCUCGGUGUAGCAGUGAAAUGCGUAGAUAUCGAGAGGAAUACCAAAGGCGUAGGCAGGUCACUGGACAGUUACUAACACUGAGGCACGAAGGCCAGGGGAGCGAACGGGAUUAGAAACCCGAGUAGUCC